rnacentral:rRNA from 1 species
UGGGGAAUAUUGCACAAUGGGCGCAAGCCUGAUGCAGCCAUGCCGCGUGUGUGAAGAAGGCCUUCGGGUUGUAAAGCACUUUCAGCGGGGAGGAAGGCGAUAAGGUUAAUAACCUUGUCGAUUGACGUUACCCGCAGAAGAAGCACCGGCUAACUCCGUGCCAGUAGCCGCGGUAAUACGGAGGGUGCAAGCGUUAAUCGGAAUUACUGGGCGUAAAGCGCACGCAGGCGGUCUGUCAAGUCGGAUGUGAAAUCCCCGGGCUCAACCUGGGAACUGCAUUCGAAACUGGCAGGCUAGAGUCUUGUAGAGGGGGGUAGAAUUCCAGGUGUAGCGGUGAAAUGCGUAGAGAUCUGGAGGAAUACCGGUGGCGAAGGCGGCCCCCUGGACAAAGACUGACGCUCAGGUGCGAAAGCGUGGGGAGCAAACAGG